rnacentral:rRNA from 1 species
AAAGGUAGCAUAAUUAAUUGCCUUUUAAUUGGGGGCUUGUUUGAAUGGUUUGACGUGGAAGACUUGAAUAUUUGGCAUUUUUUUGAAAUUAAUUUUAGGGGUUCAGAAUCCCUUAUUUUUAAUAAGACGGAAAGACCCUAGGAUCUUUUCUUUUUGUUUGGGGCAAAAUUUGCUUUUUUAGAAAAAUUGUGACCCUAAUUGUUAAAGUUUAGUGGGUUAAGUUACCCUAGGGAUAACAGUGUAAUGAUUAAUGAGAGAUCCUAUCGAAUUAAUCGUUUGCCACCUCGAUGUUGACUUAGGUUAAAGUUCAGGUGCAGCAGUUUGAACUUUUGGUCUGUUCGACCAGAUUUACCUCCAUGAGUUGAGUUAAGACCGGCGUGAGC